rnacentral:lncRNA from 1 species
CCUGAAAAAGAAAACAUUUCAAACCUAUAUCAAGUUCGGUUUCUUCAAAUAUAAAAAAAAAACAAAACCACAUGUGUAUCAGUGUAUAUACCAAAUCUAGACGGGUUCUUGAUCAUGUCCUGGAAAAUGUCAUAAGCAUUGAUGUAGGUGAAUUUCGCAUCAGGGUGGUUGUUGUUGAGCUGAUCAACCAGAGACCGUAGCUUGCUGUUGAAGAUUUGGUUUGCUGAGUUGAUUCUUUCGUCGCAAGUCCUUCUGUCACGACUACGAGCGAGCGCGUUAGGACUACAACCGAUUGCGCCAAUUCCUAUCAAUGCAAACUUCCUAGCUCCAUAGUUGUAUAGUGCCUACACGAAGCUUGUAAUUUUAUGUUAAUUAAUUAUCUAAUGACAUAAAAACAGAGUUUCGGAUGGCAAGAUAGUUGUUUCAGGAUGACGGGUUCGUGUUCGCUACACCGGAAGGCUUCAGAAGAAUGGAAAGAUUUUUGAUGACAAAUUCAGUAAAAUGCUUAAGUGGAUUAAAAAAAACAUUAUGUGACAGGGUACUUGAUGCUUAUGUUGUUGGUUGCAAUGUGCAGGUAAUGCUACAAUGUGUAUAAGAUUCAAUUUUAGCAUUCAUGGUAUGAAACUAAUUUUGUUUUGUUUACACAUCAUUUUGUUUUGAUCCCAAUUCAAAUUUUUUCUGAAUACCAUAGACAUGCAUGUUGGUGAGAACAGAAAGAUCACGGUUCCUCUAAUAUACGGGUAAAACAAUCGCAAAUCGACCUGUUGUUUAUCCUGUUAAUGGGAAUGCUAAUAUUGUCUGAUCCAUAUAACAUACAGUUAUAACAUACUUCUUCCGUUUCGAUUUAAUUGUCGUUUUGGAAAAAAAAUUUCGUUUCAAAAUAAGUAUCAUUUUAUAGUUUCAAUGCAAAAUCAUGCGUUUUAUUAAUCUGUGUGCAUAAAACUAGAACGACAAUUAAAAUGAAACGGGAAGAGUAUUAGAUAAAUGUUACUUUUGAAAAGAAUCAUAGAAUAUAUACAACUUGAAUUAACAUAACGAAUAAACAAUGUACUUUGUCAAAAGACAUAUUUAAUAUUUUGACCGAAACUUCUUUACUUAGUAAAACGAAACAUAUUCCCCGAAAAAGAAAAGCAUAUGCUCCCUCGAUUUCAAGAACAAGGACAUGAUGAUAUAAGGAAACCCUGAAUAAAAGGGCAAAAAUUAAAGAACAGAAAGUCAAAGAAUUUGUCUGUAUGGAAAUGAAAAAAGGAUCUAAUUAGCAAACUACAAGACCAGUCAAACAUAAGAAUCUUCUUGAUAUCACACACAACAAAAUAUAUAUAAACAACAAAUAAAUAAAUAAAAUAAAAAAUCUGAAAACGCGGUUUCUACGAUUAUUGGAGUCAAAACCAGCAAUGGUGUUGGUGAGAAGCUAAAUCGAACAACAACAACAAAAAAAAAAAGCUCAAAACUUUCUUCUUCUUCCUCCUCAAUCAAACUCACGAACCCUAGACGACUUCGUAAACCAUCAUCGCCGCCUUAUUAGUCAUGGAGAAUCGUAAAGGAGGAAACUUUAGCGUACCCAGCUCCGAAGCUUUGACCACGACGCUUCGCAAUGCGAUCCAAGCUUUGGGCCGUGGUUUCGAUGUCACAUCCGAUGUGAGGCUUCUGUACUGCAAAGGAGCUCCUGGGUCGAGACUUGUUCACAUCGAAGAAGGACAAAACAGAGAUCUUGAAUUGUCCGAUGGGUUUUUUCUUCCUAAUGUCCCAGUUGAUAUCGAGUGCUCACCAGGCGAAGAAGGCAUACAAAGAAUCCCUGUUUGCACCUUCCAUGAGGUGAUUUUGUAGCUUAGGAUUCUUAAGUCUUGGUGUUCGAAAAUGAUACUCUUACAUUAAGCCCUUUAUGUCUUUAGGAUGUUGUCUGAUUUGAUAUUUGUGGAACAUAAGCCAUCCUAAUUAACCUUUGGACUUAUCUAAAUUUAGAUGUUCAAAAUGUCAUUCUUACAUUAAGCCAUGUUUUGUCUUUUGUCAUGUUGCCUGAUCUGAUAUUUGUGGAACCACUAGCUCACAGUAACCUUUGGACAUUUCCAAAUUUAGAAGCUUGGGACAAUUGGUGGAUUUGUAUUUUAAUUUUUUUUUUUUUUUUUUUGGCAGAUGGCAGCAGCUUUUAACGAGAUAUCAGGUGUCAAAGGGAACAUACCACUCGGAUGCUUUAACGCUAUGUUCAACUACACUGGCUCUUGGCAAGUAGAUGCAGCUUCCACAAAGUCUCUCGCAGUCGUUGGAUACUUUAAUCGGCUUUAUGAAGUCAAAUUAGCAAAGCUUACAUUGUUUUUGCGCAAUGAGAUCAAACGCGCCGUGCCUUCCUCAUGGGAUCCUGCUUCCUUAGCUAGGUAUAUAGUCUCUCUUCUUUAACAACACCCUGUGUCCCUUCAGUUCUCUAUCUUAUGGUUUCUUUCUCCACUUGCUUACUCCUUUGGCACAGUUUUAUCGAAAACUACGGCACUCAUAUUGUAACCUCUGUGACGAUUGGUGGAAGAGACGUGGUCUACAUCAGACAGCAUAUGUCUUCUCCUUUACCAGUAUCCGAAAUCGAUAACUACGUCAAUGACAUGAGGAAGCACAGGUUUCAAGAUGCAGAGAGUCAAUCUAUCACCGGGCCGUUGAAAUACAAAGACAAGGUUAGACUAGGCGAGAUUAUUCUUGGUAAACAGAGUUUAGUUUCAUUAUGUAGCUGAAAGAGCUCUCUCCUGUAGGAUAUUACAGUAAUAUUUAGGAGAAGAGGAGGAGACGAUCUUGAGCAAAGCCACACUAGAUGGGCUAAGACGGUACCUGCAGCUCCAGACAUUAUCAACAUGACUUUUACUCCUAUUGUCUCUCUCCUCGAAGGUGUGCCUGGUCUAAGGCAUUUAACCCGUGCUAUCGAGCUUUAUCUGGAAUGUGAGUUUCUAUUUUUUUUUUUUAAAAGAAAACAUCUUUAUAUUUGAAUCUACAUUUUUAGCAUUCUUACAAACAUACAAAUCUGUUUACCAGAUAAGCCUCCUAUCGAAGAUUUACAGUACUUCUUGGACUUCCAAAUAGCUAGAGCAUGGGCUCCUGAGCAGAGUAACCUCCAACGUAAAGAACCUGUGUGUGAAUCUCUUCAGUUCAGCUUAAUGGGUCCCAAACUAUUCGUCAGCGCUGAUCAGGUAAACACAGAGCAGAAGAUUCUUCCGGUUUGGUUUAUCGUUAGGUUUAGGCUUAGGCAUUCAGAUAUUCGUUUUAAUUCAGUUAUUUCUGGUAUGAAGUAGUUCGGGUAGGGGAGUUUAGGAUCCAUUUAAAAUCCAAGGAAGGAGGUAGUCUUUGGUUCGGUUUAGUUCCAGUUUGGUUUUGUUAUAGAUAUUUGGUUAUGUUAUACUCUCUGUGUUCCAAAAUAAAUGAUGUUUGAAGAGUUUUUGUUGUUUCAUAAACAUGAUGUUUUGAUAUUUUAAUAUUAAUUUUAUUUUAUUGAAAACAGUGUGAUCAAUGAUUUUAAUAAUUUUUUGAUGAUUGGCUAAGUUAGUUUUAGUUUAUAUAUUUAAUGCUAUUUUUUAGGAAAAAGUGUGUAUAAAAAUUAUAUUUCAUAAAUUUGGAUAUUCAUUCUAUUAUUGAUUCGGUUUUGGUUCCAUUUAAAUAUUUUGAAUAUAGAAAUAUAGGAGACGUUUGGGUAUUUAUGAGAUUGGAUCCGGUUUUGGUUUUUCGAUCUGGUAUUGUUUAUAUAAACUGAACAUAUUGAUUGCCUUUUGGGUAUUUUCAGGUAACGGUUGGGCGUAAACCGGUCACGGGUCUCAGGCUAAGCUUAGAAGGAAGCAAACAAAACCGUCUCUCUAUCCAUCUACAACACUUAGUCUCUCUCCCCAAAAUCUUGCAGCCACAUUGGGACUCUCACGUGCCUAUAGGUGCACCGAAAUGGCAAGGGCCAGAAGAGCAAGACAGCCGCUGGUUUGAGCCUAUCAAAUGGAAGAACUUCUCUCACGUGAGCACCUCGCCGAUCGAGCACACGGAGACGCACAUCGGCGAUCUUUCCGGCGUUCACAUUGUCACGGGAGCUCAGCUCGGUGUGUGGAACUUCGGAUCGAAGAACGUUUUGCAUUUGAAACUACUUUUCUCUAAAGUCCCUGGUUGCACAAUAAGACGGUCUGUUUGGGACCACACGCCGGUUGCUUCCACCGGGAGGCUCGAACAGGGAGGUGCGUCUACAUCGAGUAGUUCGUCUGAGGAGAAGAGAGAAGACUUGUCGGGGCAGGCAGGGAAGCUGGCUAAGAUUGUGGACUCGUCUGAGAUGUUGAAAGGGCCACAAGAUUUGCCUGGACAUUGGCUUGUGACUGGAGCAAAGCUAGGCGUUGAAAAGGGUAAGAUUGUGUUGCGUGUGAAGUAUUCGUUGCUUAAUUAUUGAGAGGUUUUAGAAGAUGAGAUCAUGUUUUUCCGACAGCAUUCUUUGCACAGCGAAUCUUUCUUGUACAUGGUUUCGUAAGCAAGCAACCGCUCGGUUGGGUUCGGUUUGGUUCGACUUUUAGAGUGCUUUGGUUUUGUAUUGGUUGACUAUUAAGUUUUGGUCCGGUUUGGUUAUGUAGACGACUUUUAUUAUCAAGUCGGAGAUGUAAAUUUUUGUGUGAUUCACUUUUCCACACAUGGUGGAUGUAAGGACGUUUCAUGUCACGUUUCUGUGAAAUUUGCAUGCCAUUUUAUCGUUUAAAUCAAUUAAUCAUUACAAAAGAAAAUCAAAGAUGGUUUCGAGCUGGUACGAAGAUCAGGUGACUCUUGAAGAUCCGGUGAUGGUUUCGACAUGCUGGAAUGACAAUCAUGCAGAGGUUACCAGUGAAACAAAUGAACAUUCAUGUCUCAGCAUUUUCAAUUUAUGUUGGAUCAGGGCCGGAUCUGAGAUUCACUAGGUCCACCUAAUCAACGAAGAGUUUCUCCAAUAUGCACUCCCAUGCUUAUAACUUAUGAUGUUAAGUCAGGUUUGUGGGCUUACCCACGAUUGCCUGAGGGCUGAGGCCCUGAGCUUGUAGCUGCUCCUGAGCUCAAGUAACAUAACCAAAACGUACGGGAGAUUUUGGUGCACCUGGAGAUAGAUUGAGGUAUGUCUCUGUACCAAAAUAUCCCCCAUAAACCAGACCAAUUCAAUGUAAACGGUUCCUAAAAGUUAGUAUACCAACUAAUCAUAUGGUUUAACAAUUAGUAGUAAUUUAAAAUCAGACAUCAAUAAGAAUCACAAAAAUUUAUAGUGGUGAAAUUGGGUUCGAUUUUUUCCGGGUUAGUUUGGUUUUGCACAAUCAUUGGUCCAUGUGUUUCUUUAGGUGACAAGUUACUGGAAGCAACAUGUUAAGUGUGUUCUACUUUAUAUCGUGACUAUAAUAGCAAUUCCUAUGAACAAUGUGUAUGAAUAUAUAUAGAAAUGGUUGAUUUUCAAAUUUAUGCCAAAAAUAUAACAUAUGAAAUGACAAUACACGAGAAGAUACACACAUUAGUUUGUGGAACUUCUUUUAGUUUCUUUUUUAUUUUUCUCAUCAGUUUUCUUCAAAGCCGUGCCAGCCCUGAGAUAUCCAUAGGGUAAGCAUCUGAAGGCGACUCUGCCUUGUACGAUCUCCUUGCGAUAACAAUGUUUGCAGCUUCAGUUGGGUGAAACGCGUCCCAGAACACGUACGCGUUUCUGUCUCUACAUGGUCUUUGUCCCGGUAAACAUGUGAUCUGACCAGCAUUUCUCCCGAUACCACAGCAUCCUGCGUUCGUCACUCUAAACCCUGAAAAAGAAAACAUUUCAAACCUAUAUCAAGUUCGGUUUCUUCAAAUAUAAAAAAAAAACAAAACCACAUGUGUAUCAGUGUAUAUACCAAAUCUAGACGGGUUCUUGAUCAUGUCCUGGAAAAUGUCAUAAGCAUUGAUGUAGGUGAAUUUCGCAUCAGGGUGGUUGUUGUUGAGCUGAUCAACCAGAGACCGUAGCUUGCUGUUGAAGAUUUGGUUUGCUGAGUUGAUUCUUUCGUCGCAAGUCCUUCUGUCACGACUACGAGCGAGCGCGUUAGGACUACAACCGAUUGCGCCAAUUCCU